ACGCCAUUUUUUUUAUCGACUCCAAAUCUCCCCAACGCUAACUCUCGCAGAACGCUUCAUGUUUCAAUAUCAUAUGCAUCUACUCGGUCAACUCAAGUCACUUACCUCCGAAUUGACAUGGAAGCAGGUCUCACACCCUAGCUGGCAUCAAAUUCCUACAAUGACUCAGCUUGGGCACCUGGAUCCUGUAUUGUUUAAUGUACCAGCAUCCCGUUGCUCGGGGUUUCUAAUGGCAGCUCCUUUCUUGCAUACAUUCCAGAUCUCAACUUAAAGCGGAUGGAAAAACAUAUCCGUAAGAGGCUGAAGGAGAAUCUUACGUAUUCACAUCAAUAACUUAAAGUCGUGGAGUUGGUUAAUUUUAGCGAUUGCCAAGUUAAUUUUUCUUGCAUUUACUUAAGAUUGUUGUGUCACUCGAGAAACUAAUCAUUCAACUUUGCCGUACCAUAGAACCAAGAAAAGGAAAAAGACACACAGACAGCCAUGAAGAUAAUCAAUAUCGCGCAGAACUUAGUCCCGAGUGUAGAAAAUUAUGCGGGGUUUUUUUUUAAAAAUAGCCACUUCUCGAUUAGAAACUUAAAGAAUAGUAAAAUUUAUUUUUUUUUAAAGCCAACUAUGGACAAAAAUAUUCUUAAUUAAAUUGAAAAUUACAAAAUAUUAUUUCUCUUCCCCUUUCCUUUUUCUCCCUUCUCAAAUAAGCACCGGUUUUGUCUUUAAAAAAAAGAAAAAUUUCACUUGUGACACUGAUCCUCUUAGCAUUUCAUUUGCUUUUACUCUCUUUUUCUCAUAUUGUCUCCAUUCGAAGCCAAAAUAAAGUAUAAAUUUCGAUAUCGGUAUGUAUUUUAUAAGCUGUUAUAUUUAAGCCAAAAUCACUCUUUUUCUCAU